rfam:Lupinus angustifolius cultivar Tanjil contig_15231, whole genome shotgun sequence.
AGAGUGAAAUUGCAGCCAAGAAUGACUUGCCGGAAUACAUCUACCUUAUGAUUGCUUAUAAUCCGGCAAGUUGUUUUUGGCUACAUAUAUCUCUCU